rnacentral:rRNA from 1 species
GAUGAACGCUGGCGGCGUGCCUAAUACAUGCAAGUCGAGCGAACAGACGAGGAGCUUGCUCCUCUGACGUUAGCGGCGGACGGGUGAGUAACACGUGGAUAACCUACCUAUAAGACUGGGAUAACUUCGGGAAACCGGAGCUAAUACCGGAUAAUAUAUUGAACCGCAUGGUUCAAUAGUGAAAGACGGUUUUGCUGUCACUUAUAGAUGGAUCCGCGCCGCAUUAGCUAGUUGGUAAGGUAACGGCUUACCAAGGCGACGAUGCGUAGCCGACCUGAGAGGGUGAUCGGCCACACUGGAACUGAGACACGGUCCAGACUCCUACGGGAGGCAGCAGUAGGGAAUCUUCCGCAAUGGGCGAAAGCCUGACGGAGCAACGCUGCGUGAGUGAUGAAGGUCUUCGGAUCGUAAAACUCUGUUAUUAGGGAAGAACAAAUGUGUAAGUAACUAUGCACGUCUUGACGGUACCUAAUCAGAAAGCCACGGCUAACUACGU